rnacentral:lncRNA from 1 species
AGACAAGAUUGGGAGCGUUCACGGUGGUAUGACUGUAGAUUGCUCACGACGUUUCCAGUAGCUUCUGCCGUUUUAAUGCUUGCUCUCUCUCUGUCCUCUGUCAAAUGUCGUAAAAAAUAAAUAAGGCCAAGUGCACCACGGAAGACCCUACCAAUGGCGCUGAGCAGUCCAAGGUUGCUGUACUUUCUGGAGUCAGUACUCCCGAAUAAAUAGCGUGAAUGUUCCCAGUCCUGCUUGCAAGCAUAAGCUACCAGUGAGCUUGUUUCAGGCUGUGAGAAUGGAUAAGGACAGAUGGAAGCAAUGGUGUUCUUCUCAGCUGGAACCCGAUGUGGUCCGUGUGCAGCCUGACACUCGAAACUCAUUCAUCUUCCUUUCUAAGUCCUUUCACAUGGAGUCCAACCCUUGGGCAGAACCCCAGAUUUUCUUCAGUACUUCACAUGUUCUCUCGUUGGCCUGUUCCAGAUCCCUCUUCAUGUUGCAGCACACCAAGGCUUUGGAUUCCUCCAGCACUAUUCGAUUACAUGAGACAAGCUUCUUGAUCUGAGCCACCAAUUUCCUGAGUGAAGGUCCAGGACCCAAACAGCUGGGAGAGAAGGCCGUUGCCAAAUGCCUUCUGUGUGAUCAGUUUCAACCCACUGAGCAUCGUCUCGCUUGCAGCUGGUCGUCCCAUGAUUUCGGAAACGUAAUGGUAAAUCAGCUGUCUGGAAUCUGCUCAGAGGUAGAAGAGGUUGUUGGAAACCAAGUCUUUUGAUUAGCCUAAACCAUAUCAUAAAGGGGCAAUACGGAUGCUUCUAGUCGAAUGGCUGGGAUAGUGACUGCUUCAAUAAUAUUCAGUUUGAGUGAAAUGAUAGCCUUCACGAAGUUCCUCCCAUCCAAGUACUGAAGAGGCCGUACCCUGGGCGCAAUCUCGUGUACUCUGUACUUCAGUGACCAGAUGAGAUUGGAGCGUUCACUGUGCUAUGGCCGUAGAUUAUGUACGACGUUUCUGGUAGCUUCUCUUCUGCCAUUUUAAUGCUUUCUCUUUUUGUAUCAUAUUCAGGGUCGUAUGGUCAUAGAUUAUUCAUGAUGUUUCAGAUAACUUCUUUUACUUCAGUAACAGGUUUUUUGAACGGAGUAAUAGUAUUCACAAAGUUCCUUGUGUCCAUGCACUAUACAGGGCAGAUACUGCUUAGCUUCUGAUAUCCGAAGAAAUCGUGCCUAUUUCGGGUGGUAUGGCCAGGGAUUAUUCACGAAGUUUCUGUUAGCUUCUGCCUAUUUAACACUUUCUUUUUUUCUGUCACUUUCAGAGUGAUAUGGCCAUAGAUUAUUCACGACGUUUCUGAUAGGUUCUCCCAUUUUAAUGCUUUCUCUUUUUCUGUCAUCUGUCAAACACUGCAUAAAAUAAAUAAAGUCAAGUCCACAACAGAAGACACUGUUAAAGGCGCUGAGCAGUACAAGCUUGCUGUAAUCAGCAGUGGUUGUCAGAGCUGGUAGACUUUUUUCAUUACAGCUGUAUUUACUGAGUUAUUCCCUGUUGAUCUAGUGAAUAAGAUGUGGGUGAAGCCAUCUUUUGUCCCGGCCACAAUAACUCUGUAUCCUUAGGCACUUUCUGUUUGCCUCACACUGAAAUGCAAUCGUUUGUUAAAAGGCUGUUCUCUUCUGUUGUCAAUAAAUUUCCUUUUGCUGACAGUUACUGCUGU